GCCACUAUGAGGGUGGCUGACGAAGAGGUGACCUUCCCCAUUAUCGACGCUGCUGCCAUCCCUUUGCUGAAAUGGAGAUACCUCCGAAGCAAUUUUCGACGGUCCACAAGUUCGUUGCAAGAGAGCUCCAAUGAUUGAAAAAUGGGAUCGGAGAUACAGUCUGUUACUCUGAUAGCCGGCGACGGAUUGUAGUGGCAUCAGGAAAUCCCUAUCUGCCAUGCAAUUUGGAGGCAUUGUAGGAUGAUCGUGGCCAUCGACGCCAGAGCUCUGUGUCAACCACCGGUCGGUGGCAAAACAAUCAAACAAUUCGUGCAAAUUUGUUUUCGCACGACCAAUAAGCGCCACAACUUGAGAGUGCUUUAAGCAGGCAUACUUCCCUCAAGGUUCCCUUACUGCCUUAUGCCAAUCAUCCAAGUACCAAAACGCCAUUUCCAAGGUUUUGACAGACCCAUGGCAGCAGGUUGGUUAGAUGGCUCUACUCACAUCCUACUAGGGAGGUUUGGGGUCAAUUGUAGUGUCAAUGCGUCUUAUUUUGGUCUUAUUGAUGUCUUGUUUUUGUUAGGCACCACUGUUGUGAUUUGGGGCAAUUUUUGUGAUGUGUAUUAUUGAGAAAUAU